rnacentral:lncRNA from 1 species
UCAUAGGGGUAUUUUAGUCAUUUUUCUUCGAUAAUACCGAAACUCGCCAAAACAAUGGUGUAAAAGCUAAAUAUGUUCAUACAUAUUUUAAAUCAGAUAACUAAAGUAUAAAAUUACUUUUACAAUGACACGUGGGCCCCCAACUAACCAAUAAGAUGCGAGUGUGUGAACCUAUAAUUUUGACAAUGCAAGGCUAACUGAAGUCCUUGAUGCAAUCGGCUAUCUACCAGCUAUCUCGAAC